rnacentral:rRNA from 1 species
GUCGAACGCUGGCGGCGUGCUUACACAUGCAAGUCGAACGAUGAUGCCCAGCUUGCUGGGUGGAUUAGUGGCGAACGGGUGAGUAACACGUGAGUAACCUGCCCCUGACUCUGGGAUAAGCGUUGGAAACGACGUCUAAUACUGGAUAUGAUCACUGGCCGCAUGGUCUGGUGGUGGAAAGAUUUUUUGGUUGGGGAUGGACUCGCGGCCUAUCAGCUUGUUGGUGAGGUAAUGGCUCACCAAGGCGACGACGGGUAGCCGGCCUGAGAGGGUGACCGGCCACACUGGGACUGAGACACGGCCCAGACUCCUACGGGAGGCAGCAGUGGGGAAUAUUGCACAAUGGGCGAAAGCCUGAUGCAGCAACGCCGCGUGAGGGAUGACGGCCUUCGGGUUGUAAACCUCUUUUAGUAGGGAAGAAGCGAAAGUGACGGUACCUGCAGAAAAAGCACCGGCUAACUACGUGCCAGCAGCCGCGGUAAUACGUAGGGUGCAAGCGUUGUCCGGAAUUAUUGGGCGUAAAGAGCUCGUAGGCGGUUUGUCGCGUCUGCUGUGAAAUCCCGAGGCUCAACCUCGGGCUUGCAGUGGGUACGGGCAGACUAGAGUGCGGUAGGGGAGAUUGGAAUUCCUGGUGUAGCGGUGGAAUGCGCAGAUAUCAGGAGGAACACCGAUGGCGAAGGCAGAUCUCUGGGCCGUAACUGACGCUGAGGAGCGAAAGCAUGGGGAGCGAACAGGAUUAGAUACCCUGGUAGUCCAUGCCGUAAC